UCGACGGUAACAGGGAGCUUGCUCCGCUGACGAGUGGCGAACGGGUGAGUAAUGCAUCGGAACGUACCUUUCAGUGGGGGAUAACGUAGCGAAAGUUACGCUAAUACCGCAUAUUCUGUGAGCAGGAAAGCAGGGGAUCGCAAGACCUUGCGCUGAUUGAGCGGCCGAUAUCAGAUUAGCUAGUUGGUGAGGUAAAGGCUCACCAAGGCGACGAUCUGUAGCGGGUCUGAGAGGAUGAUCCGCCACACUGGAACUGAGACACGGUCCAGACUCCUACGGGAGGCAGCAGUGGGGAAUUUUGGACAAUGGGGGCAACCCUGAUCCAGCCAUGCCGCGUGAGUGAAGAAGGCCUUCGGGUUGUAAAGCUCUUUCAGCCGGGAAGAAAUCACAUGGGUUAAUACCCUGUGUGGAUGACGGUACCGGAAUAAGAAGCACCGGCUAACUACGUGCCAGCAGCCGCGGUAAUACGUAGGGUGCGAGCGUUAAUCGGAAUUACUGGGCGUAAAGCGUGCGCAGGCGGUUUGUUAAGAUAGGCGUGAAAUCCCCGGGCUCAACCUGGGAACUGCGUUUAUGACUGGCAGGCUAGAGUAUGGCAGAGGGGGGUGGAAUUCCACGUGUAGCAGUGAAAUGCGUAGAGAUGUGGAGGAACACCGAUGGCGAAGGCAGCCCCCUGGGCCAAUACUGACGCUCAUGCACGAAAGCGUGGGUAGCAAACAGGAUUAGAUACCCUGGUAGUCCACGCCCUAAACGAUGUCAACUAG
rnacentral:rRNA from 1 species